rnacentral:rRNA from 1 species
GGUGCUGCAAGGCGUGUCGUCAGCUCGUGUCGUGAGAUGUUGGGUUAAGUCCCGCAACGAGCGCAACCCUCGUCCUAUGUUGCCAGCGGGUCAUGCCGGGGACUCAUGGGAGACUGCCGGGGUCAAACUCGGAGGAAGGUGGGGAUGACGUCAAGUCCUCAUGGCCCUUAUGGGUAGGGCUUCACACGUCAUACAAUGGUCGGUACAGAGGGUUGCCAAGCCGCGAGGCGGAGCCAAUCCCACAAAGCCGAUCGUAGUCCGGAUUGUUCUCUGCAACUCGAGAGCAUGAAGUCGGAAUCGCUAGUAAUCGCAGGUCAGCAUACUGCGGUGAAUACGUUCCCGAGUCUU